CCCUCUUUCCCUCCCCAGAGAGCGAUUAAAGGCAGUGCAGCUCAGAUACGCUCACUUGGUUCCCCUCCUGAAUUCUGCUGGGUUGCGUUGCUCAGUAGCUCUCAGAAGCUGUCAAUGGCCACAGACUGAAAAGUGCAAUGGGCCGCAGUUCACACAGCUGGCUGGUUUGUCUCUGGCUGAUCCUCAUCUGUCUCCACCAAUUGUUCCCUACUUUGGGGCUCUGUAAAACAGCAACUUCAGAGAUCUCCUACUAUUAGUAAGUUUUUGAAAGAGCAAUUUGCUCUGCUUAUUGUCCAUCAUUGGUCAAACUCUUGUGCGGUCUCAGGAUCUUACAUGUUUUGUUAGACUUGUCUUUAGCUUCCAAGUUGUGUUGAAGACUUGCUUCCACUGUGAUGCUCAAUGUACUAAAAAUUGAGAGAUGAAAACGUGAAGAGUUUUUCCAGCCUUGAUUUCAUGUCUAGAACUUUGGAACCCACUACUUGCAGUUGUUCAACUGGUCUGGUUUGAAAUGCCCUGGUGCUUGUUGAAUUGCUCUGCUGUUAAAGAUGGAGCAAUUCUUUCGGGUACCAUUGCACCGCUGUUGAUGGCUUCUAAUUCUUGCUUUCUUUGUUUUCCACAGACUGCUUUUCAAGCCUCCUUUUUCUUUACAGUCAAAGUGAGAAUUGCACUGUGAGGCGUAGAGCCUUGUUGUGCCUGUACAUAAAGAGAACAGCAGCAGAGCCUCACAGCUGACUGCUGGCAGCUCUCGUUGUAGCCAGUAGCACAUAACUGUGCCAAAUCCUUUGUGAUGGGUUUGAUUUCAUUUUUGCCAGUGAAAUCCUUGUAGGUAUAAGGUACUGCAGAAGGGUGAUGAGCUAAGAUGGAGAUACUGGUUUUCGUGGUGCUUUAAGUUGAGCGGAAGAGCAAUUGAAUUAGGGUCAUAUGCUUUGUCUGGAGCCAUAAGGUUUUUUUCCUGGGGGAAAGAGCCAGCUUUUCAUAGGCUGCAUGUGGCCUUUGGCAAGGGCAGACAAUGCAGUCUGUCAGUAAGGCAUUUUAGGUGCUUCAGGUUUGUAAACUUGUCCUUUUAUUUUUCAGGCAGAUUUUUGGAGCAUGGGUGCACUGCGGUACGCUCUGCUGUGUGGGUUUCUUCCUUUUGACGAUGGCAGUGUGAUGGCACUCUACAGGAGGAUAACAGGAGAGAGGAAAAGACACUGUUCCAAAAUGGCUUUCCCCUAGCAGCACGCUGCUACUUGACCAACUGCUGCAGGCACCUUGAAGUUGUUAGGAAAAGAAUAACUGUCUGCAGUUCUUCUCGGUGAUGUAAGUAACAGCUUGAAUGUUGCUGCCCACUAGGCAGACCCAAAGAAGCAGAUGACAGUUAAACUCCUGUGAAAUCACCCUUGGCUCAUGCAAGGUUAUUCUGGUGCUGUUCAGUGGCAAAGUAAAUACCCAGUAAGUACACGCACUCGAAGAAGCCUAAGUAUGUUCUGGAGUCUUUCCUGGACCACUGGCAUCCUCUCAGAAUGGGAGUGAUAACACAUUUCUUCAGAGGCUGCUGACAAGUGGUGACUCUCCAGGGUCCAUUUUGGCACCUUCAACACCUUUGUCAGUGACAGAGAGAAUGGAACUAGAGAGCACCUUCAGAAAGCUUGCAGGCAGCCCCGUGCUGAGAGGUGCGGUGGAUCAAACAGGAGGUAGGGAUGUCUCAUCCUGGUGGCAUUCAGGGCCGGGUUGGAUGAGGCCCCGGACAGUUUGAUCUGGUGAGUUGCAGCUCUGCAACUUGGAGCUUGAUGGUCUUUAAGGUCCCUUCCAACUCAAGCCGUUCUAUGAUUCUCUGGAACUGUGCUUGUGCUCCUUAUCUCUCAAUUGUCUGACCUGUGUGAGAGGUUGGGGUAGCGGGGUUGGGGUGGGAAUUGGGGGUGCGAGGGAGAUUCUUGCUGCAGAUACUGAGAAGUUGCUGUGUAUUUGCAGCCAAUGGCUGCUGCUGGCCUCUGGGUGCCACUGUUUCUCUGAAGAACAGCUGUGCUGAUGGUACACCACUGUGCUGUGCAUGCCGUGCAACUGAAUAAUUAAGAGGGGACAGAGGUGUAACUUGUGCUCUAGUGAAAAUCUCAUCUGCUGACAGGCUUUUGUACUUGAAUGCAGAACCUGUUGCCACAGAGGGACCAGUUGCUGAAGCGUGGUGACUCUUUCUGUUUACUCCUUGCAGUAUUUAGCCCUGAUGCUAACUAUUUAAAAUAGAAAAUCUGAAAUGGUGGCUAACUAUUGGCUUGAUUGGUGCAUAUCAGAAGACUAUCAUGGUGAUAGUGGCUCUGUGAGAUGACUUGGAAGCUGUUUCUUCAGUACAGGUCUUGUUCUUGCAGCUGGGGCACCUUGAUGAAGACUGUGCAACAGAACUUGCUGUGUUUCACAACCAGAGCAGAGAGAGUAUAUUGGCAUUAAUAUCAGAGGUGGAAUCGUGACCAGAUGUCACAGCCUAUCUCUUGCUUCAAUCCAGGAAGGUUCGUGGCAAGCGCAUCCACUUAAGGAUUCCAUCACAAACGACGUGCAGUACAACACAGCCAGCAAGCCAGGGAAGAAUCUCAACUGAACACUUCUUUUCAGUCUGAAAAGGCUGUGACAUCUGAAGAUGUGCCAGGUUGCAGCCAUGUGCCACAUGCAUUUGGAUCCAUGGAAUUUGCUGAUGGAACUUCAUUGUUUGAAGAAUCUCCACUAGAAGAGUUUGUUCUAAAUGCUCACAGAACAAAGCAGGUGUCUGAAGAUCCAGUGCUAGUUUCUGACAGAAAAAAAUACAAUUCUUAAUCCAGAAAUCUGCUUCUCAGUGUGUAUAAUGCUUAUUACAUAUUUAAGUAUUUAGAGGACCUUGACCAAAGGGAGAUACAGAUUGAGCAAAGAAGUAUGUUGAGCAUAAAUUGUGAUGCCUUCUACCUGAAAGCCAUGGUUCAUUUGAUGAGAACCUUAACUUCAGUGUUCGGUUUGCACUGAAACAGCGAGUAAGGAAACAAGCGAAGGAGUCAGUGAGGAUUUUAAAACAAAAUGGGAAGUGAUAAGGCACAGUUAAUAAGAUUUUGGAGUUAGGCAAGAGGUGGACAGAGCUUUAAAUGUACCGACAGAAAUUCAAUCUCUCUGUAUUGGACAAGAAAACCCACAGUGAAGCAAUUCAAAUUUCGCAGCUAAAAAAGUGAUAAUUCAUAGCUAUGUUUAGAUAAGCUGGUGAGGAGUAAUCCUAAAUGUAGAAUUUAGAUGAACAGAUAGAAAAAUGGCACUUGACAAUCUAUAAGAAGCAAACUCAUUUUAGGGGAGAAUCAGAGGUACUGAAGAGUUUUUAACUACUUUGCUCAAUAGACAAGUAGUGUAGGAUGUUUUUAUGAGCAUUGUGUCUGACCUGCUUAGAUGUUAGAAUUUCCUUGACAGUGACUUCUCUGGAUGUGAUUGCAGUACCUGGCAGCAUUCAAGGUGUGAUACUCAGCUGGGCGAUAUGGAAUUCACACUGUCAGCUCCAGUGACAGGAAAAGUGGCAUCUAUGAAGCAUGCAAAGAAAUGUGGAUGCAGAGUCAGCAUUAAGAAAUGCGCUGCCCUUUGCACUUCCUGCUUCAAAGGCCUCCUUUCCAAAGAGUGAGACACAGAAGCAAGUGCAAGGCAAACCCCUCCAGGCACCUCCUUCCACAGGUAUGUUGUGUCUAACAGAUGAGAACCUAGAACAUGUGUAGCUUAGGGAUUUUUUAAAUUCAAACGUGAACACAAUACUUGUAGAUCCUAACCUUCUGUUUCUGGAAGAUGUAGGUUUGGGGUUUUUUUGGUCACAGCGCAUGUAUUCACCAGCCUGUACAUCUGACAGUGCACAGCAAGAGGUUUAGCCAUAUGUCAGGGCAGGUUACUCGUCUGUUCAUUACAGAGGUUCUCACGGUUUCACAAGGAGGUGCCUUUAGAUGCAUCCAGAUAAUGAGACAAUUGCUGUUCCUAAAACUGGCACGUGGUUCCACUUCUCGUGGAGAUCUAGGAGAAAAUUUCUUCAACGUUCAUUAUGGUUUUUUGUUUUCUUCUGGGCUGCUGUGUUGAGUGAAAGAAAAGGGUAAAUGCUUUUAUUUAACUGUGCUCUUAUUGCAUCUUGCUUCUAAAUGAAAUGUAACCUGUACUUUCACAUAUCUGCUUGGUGUGGCAUUGAAAAUACUGAGGCUAGCAAUGUUAACAGCUGCAUUUACGUGAUGGACCAGAAACGUGUCCAUGCUGUAUCAGCUCCUCUGGGUUACAGAGAUGUUUGUCCUCAUCCUUUGUGUUGAUACUGCACGUGUUCACUCUGCCCUUUAAAGUAUUAAGCGCUUCUUACAGUUGAAGAUUCUUCUGUUCCAAGUGCUAGGGAAUAUUGUUGAGAAAUGCUCCAUCUCUGCAGGCUAAUAUGUUACUAAGAGUCACUGAACAUACCACUUUCCUUUGCUAAGUGUUCAACGAAGCGCAUUACGAAGGCUGGUUGUUCACACAGGUUUUAUUUUUGUCUUAAGACUGCAUGUGGUAACUUCUGAUGUUGGUCUUAUGGCAAGCUUAAAAAGUGAAAGUAGGUAUUUCUUACGUGAGAAGUGCAGAAGUGUGAUUUCAGCUCAUUUCUGUUAGAUAUUCCUGAGAGUUAAGCAAUUAAAAUACUGUUGUUGUUCUAUUGGAAGUUCUUGCAUUCAGGAUAGUUAAAGCAGUGCUUAGAGAUAUAACAAUAAAUGGUGGGAGUAUCUCUUGGAAGUGUUGAGAACAUGGCUGUCUGGGGCCAACUGCUGCUAUGGAAAGCUGAAUCUUCGAGCUGUAUUGAGUUGUCUCCACAAAUGCAAAGCUGCUCCACAGAGCUCUUUUCCAACACAUGGGCAAUAGAACUUUUUAGGCCGUUAUUCAACAUGUAGUAUUAACUGUGGUGAUGCAACUCGCACCUUUCACAUAAAGGAAAAUGCUUGAUGUGGAAUGCAACCUUUUGACAUAGUAAAUUCCUCAGUGUUUGUCCUGAGACCAGUGGCAGAACAAGAAGCCAGUUCUGGUCCUCAUCCCUUCCAAACUGUAGUACUGCACUGCGCCGGCCCCUCAAAGACUUGAAUACAGAGCUCAGGGGGGAUCAGUCUCAGUUUUCUGUUUAGUCUUGUUGUUCUAGUUAAAACCUAUUUUAUCACGCUGAAGAUGCAGACUAGAGAUAGAUAGGAGGCUGGCUUUAAAAAAGUAAUUGCUAAUCGUGAGAAAUCCUGACUGAAGAGAAGUCAAUCCUCUACUGCAGAAACAUACCUGCUUUGGUUUGGAUACUUUCUUUCAGAGAGCCAGUGCACGACAGUCAUCGCAGUUAAGAAGCCCAAAACACCAGCAAAUACGUAUGAACUGACAGCAACUGAGGUUCUUCCUGAGAGGAGGUAAGUGUGCAGUUAUCUGUAUAUGUUCUUGGUUUAGAGCAGUGCUACCUCAAUCAGUGAACAGCCUAGGAAGCAUUGUUCACAACAGCAAGCUGUAUUUCCUUUCUCUUGGUUAAAAUUCUCCUAAAACCUCUUGUAUUCCCUGGGAAACACUGAAAGCAGAAAAUAAAAAUUAAAACUAGAAGU